UUCGGGGCAGUGACUGAGGUAUAUGUCACACAGCUAAUGCAAUCAGCAAAUAGCUACAGGAAGGACACGUAUAGAUAUGACACGGCUAUUAUCCUGUAUAUAAUCACGGGACAUCGCCAAGGGAGGAGGGUCUACAUCCAAUCAGUGACGCUUUAUACCGAUCACAGUACUCAACUAAGAGGGAGUGGAAAAAAGUAUAAUUGUAACCCUUUCUUCCCGAGCGGAAUCAGAGGCAUAAGACAGUUCCAUAGCCCUGAGGAUUAUGGUUUUUGGCUUUAUAUGUGAAGAAACGGAUAGCCUAUCUCUUGAGCACGGACGUCUCGGAGGGGCGGUGUACGCGCAUCACACAAGUUCCAUGAUGUUGAAUUACUAUAAUUUGGUUAGGUAAUCACCAACUUACCCACUGUUGCCAGGUUCAAGUACUUCUCGUGCACCUGAUGAACUUUGCAUGAUCAGGUGAUGUUUAAUCUUGUGAUAAUUUGUCAAUCUUGUGGUGAGGGGCUAGCCUUAUAUAUUGUUGUCGGCAGCCUAAUCCAUGUGAUAUUAAUCCGUAUUACCACAAAAACAAUAGUAAUUAUAAGUUAUUAUUUAAGGAUUAAACUGCCAAAAAAUGACAGUCUAAUGGUUAUAUUU